rnacentral:miRNA from 1 species
GUUUCAUGCCGUAAAGGCAAUCAUCAGGCAACAGUUUUUGCUUCUGAAUAUCAACAAAAACUGUUGCCUGAUGAUUGCCUUUACGGCACGAAAC